GUUCCGGUCUGCGUCACGUGAGGUGGCGGCGUCACGUGACCCGUCGGCCCGGGCUUCCGGCUUGGCUGAACACCGUCGCGGUGGGAAUCCCCCAGCCCUGCGCUCCACUCACCUCAGCCUUCUCUGCAUCUCCUCGGGGACUGUCAUUACCCCUGAGGUCCCUCUCUGCCUUUUGCGCUGGAGGACAAAUAAGUGGAAGGAGCUCGUGGUCACUAGAAGUUGGACGUUGUGAGGGAAACUGCCAGGGAUCUUCUUAGAAGUCCCGGGAGUCCUCAUCUUCCUCUUCUGCUGACUUUGCCCCAGCUCCUGGGGGCUGAGCGUUUUUGCUUCUAAUCGAUUUUGGCGCACUUUUCUUAGUGGCUCGGAAGGGAACGAGGGUCCUUGGUUCAACUUAAUUUUAUUACAGGAAAACAGAUGUCCAGAGAAUAGCAAGAAACUGAAGCUUCCCGGGCCCCAACUCCUUGGCUUCCUGGCACCAGAAUCUGCCAAUCCACCCUGGAGGCAGACAACCAAGGACACCCACCUGCAGAUUCCCUUAUCUCACCAUCCCCCUCCCUAGGAGCAGCCUCACAAGGCCAAACACAGGCUGGUGGGAAAGGUUGACCAGCAAGGUCACAGGUUCCCACUCCCUACAAGCAGCAAACCUUUAAAACCCUUUACCCACUUCUUAAUGGGAGCCAGCAGUUCCUAAGGCGUUAGCCGGCCCGUGCCUGGCAAAGAAAAAAAUAAAAACUGUUUUUUUCCUUUUCACCCAAAACUCUGUUCUCGCUAUUUGGGUUGGCACCAAGUUCAGAGAACAAACUUUCAGUAACAUUGUAAACGCAGAUAUCCUUUAACUGAGUGAUUUUUAUGUUUAUUCUUAUAUACUCCUGCGCAUGUAAAAUGAUGUGUGUGCAAGGUCUAAUUUGUAGAUUAGAUUGAAACAACCUUAAUGUCCAUCAGUAGGUGACUGGUUCAAUAAAGUACAUCUGUACAAUCCAAUACCA
rnacentral:lncRNA from 1 species